UCCCUCCUAAUGUGUUUCACUUAGCUCCCCCCCACCCCCUCCCGCGCCGCAAAAAACCAAAAUCUGACCUUUUACUUAGGUUUUUUUCCCCCAAAAUUUGCUUCCCUCUCUCUAAGCCGUCACUCUUCUUCUCUCUUUCUCUCCAUCCUCAUCGGCCAACACGGCGGUGUAGUCACCGGGGCUCAAGACUUAUUUCAAAACCCCAGAAGGACGUUAUAAGCUACACUACGAGAAGACUCACCCUUAAGGUCUCCUUCAUUAUGCUCAUGGCAAAACCGCCCCUCAGGGCAUUGUUGGCCUGGAAACAGAAUAUGGCACUCUUCAUAUAAAAAUCAAUGCUGGAGAAGGAAAUCAAAAUGUGGAUGAAGACACAAAAGAUGACUUUGAGGAGGAAGAUGACUUAGAUGGCUCUCAGAAGGAGAAUACUGACUCAGAUGAUGAUUGAUCUUCCAAUAUUUAUGUUUUCAAGUUUGGUGAAGGAUAUUAUAGCUUUCAUGUAGACGUUUUAAUUAAUAUUUUUUAUUCUAUUUUAUAGACAUUUUAAUAUUUUUUUAUUGCAUUAUGCACUUUCUAGAUUUGGACAAUUAUGGAUUUGUGCUUGUUAUUUGAAUUGAAAAACUUUUGGGAGA